rnacentral:rRNA from 1 species
UCAGCUCGUGUCGUGAGAUGUGGUUAAGUCCGCAACGAGCGCAACCCCUAUUGUUAGUUGCCAUCAUUCAGUUGGGCACUCUAGCGAGACUGCCGGUAAUAAACCGGAGGAAGGUGGGGAUGACGUCAAAUCAUCAUGCCCCUUAUGACCUGGGCUACACACGUGCUACAAUGGGCGGUACAAGGGGUCGCGAACCCGCGAGGGGGAGCCAAUCCCAAAAAGCCGCUCUCAGUUCGGAUUGCAGGCUGCAACUCGCCUGCAUGAAGCCGGAAUCGCUAGUAAUCGCGGAUCAGCAUGCCGCGGUGAAUACGUUCCCGGGCCUU